AGAGUUUGAUCAUGGCUCAGAUUGAACGCUGGCGGCAGGCCUAACACAUGCAAGUCGAACGGUAACAGGAAGCAGCUUGCUGCUUCGCUGACGAGUGGCGGACGGGUGAGUAAUGUCUGGGAAACUGCCUGAUGGAGGGGGAUAACUACUGGAAACGGUAGCUAAUACCGCAUAACGUCGCAAGACCAAAGAGGGGGACCUUCGGGCCUCUUGCCAUCGGAUGUGCCCAGAUGGGAUUAGCUUGUUGGUGGGGUAACGGCUCACCAAGGCGACGAUCCCUAGCUGGUCUGAGAGGAUGACCAGCCACACUGGAACUGAGACACGGUCCAGACUCCUACGGGAGGCAGCAGUGGGGAAUAUUGCACAAUGGGCGCAAGCCUGAUGCAGCCAUGCCGCGUGUAUGAAGAAGGCCUUCGGGUUGUAAAGUACUUUCAGCGGGGAGGAAGGGAGUAAAGUUAAUACCUUUGCUCAUUGACGUUACCCGCAGAAGAAGCACCGGCUAACUCCGUGCCAGCAGCCGCGGUAAUACGGAGGGUGCAAGCGUUAAUCGGAAUUACUGGGCGUAAAGCGCACGCAGGCGGUUUGUUAAGUCAGAUGUGAAAUCCCCGGGCUCAACCUGGGAACUGCAUCUGAUACUGGCAAGCUUGAGUCUCGUAGAGGGGGGUAGAAUUCCAGGUGUAGCGGUGAAAUGCGUAGAGAUCUGGAGGAAUACCGGUGGCGAAGGCGGCCCCCUGGACGAAGACUGACGCUCAGGUGCGAAAGCGUGGGGAGCAAACAGGAUUAGAUACCCUGGUAGUCCACGCCGUAAACGAUGUCGACUUGGAGGUUGUGCCCUUGAGGCGUGGCUUCCGGAGCUAACGCGUUAAGUCGACCGCCUGGGGAGUACGGCCGCAAGGUUAAAACUCAAAUGAAUUGACGGGGGCCCGCACAAGCGGUGGAGCAUGUGGUUUAAUUCGAUGCAACGCGAAGAACCUUACCUGGUCUUGACAUCCACGGAAGUUUUCAGAGAUGAGAAUGUGCCUUCGGGAACCGUGAGACAGGUGCUGCAUGGCUGUCGUCAGCUCGUGUUGUGAAAUGUUGGGUUAAGUCCCGCAACGAGCGCAACCCUUAUCCUUUGUUGCCAGCGGUCCG
rnacentral:rRNA from 1 species